rnacentral:rRNA from 1 species
ACGAACGCUGGCGGCGUGCUUAACACAUGCAAGUCGAGCGAUGAGAUUCCUUCGGGGAUGGAUUAGCGGCGAACGGGUGAGGAACACGUGAGGAAUCUGCCUUCUACACUGGGAUAACUCCGGGAAACUGGGGCUAAUACCGGAUAUGGAACUUGGUGGCAUCACCGAGUUUGGAAAGUUUUUCGGUAGAAGAUGACCUCGCGGCCUAUCAGCUUGUUGGUGAGGUAAUGGCUCACCAAGGCGACGACGGGUAGCCGGCCUGAGAGGGCGACCGGCCACACUGGGACUGAGGCACGGCCCAGACUCCUACGGGAGGCAGCAGUGGGGAAUAUUGGGCAAUGGAGGAAACUCUGACCCAGCGACGCCGCGUGCGGGAUGAAGG